rnacentral:rRNA from 1 species
CCUACGGGUGGCAGCAGUGGGGAAUCUUGCACAAUGGGGGAAACCCUGAUGCAGCGACGCCGCGUGAGUGAAGAAGUAUCUCGGUACGUAAAGCUCUAUCAGCAGGGAAGAAAAUGACGGUACCUGACUAAGAAGCCCCGGCUAACUACGUGCCAGCAGCCGCGGUAAUACGUAGGGGGCAAGCGUUAUCCGGAUUUACUGGGUGUAAAGUGAGCGUAGACGGCAGCACAGAUCUGGAGUGAAAUCCCGGGGCUUAACCCCGGAACUGCAUUGGAAACUGUGCGGCUGGAGUGCAGGAGGGGACAGCGGAAUUCCUAGUGUAGCGGUGAAAUGCGUAGAUAUUAGGAGGAACACCGGUGGCGAAGGCGGCUUACUGGACUGUAACUGACGUUGAGGCUCGAAAGCGUGGGGAGCAAACAGGAUUAGAUACCCGAGUAGUC